rnacentral:rRNA from 1 species
UACGAAGGGGGCUAGCGUUGCUCGGAAUCACUGGGCGUAAAGCGCACGUAGGCGGAUUGUUAAGUCAGGGGUGAAAUCCUGGAGCUCAACUCCAGAACUGCCUUUGAUACUGGGAUUCUUGAGUUCGGGAGAGGUGAGCGGAACUGCGAGUGUAGAGGUGAAAUUCGUAGAUAUUCGCAAGAACACCAGUGGCGAAGGCGGCUCACUGGCCCGAUACUGACGCUGAGGCACGAAAGCGUGGGGAGCAAACAGG